UACGUAGGGGGCAAGCGUUGUCCGGAUUUAUUGGGCGUAAAGAGCGUAUAGGCGGUUUGGUAGGUCCGUUGUGAAAACUCGAGGCUCAACCUCGAGACGCCGAUGGAAACCAUCAGACUAGAGUCCGGAAGAGGAGAGUGGAAUUCCUGGUGUAGCGGUGAAAUGCGCAGAUAUCAGGAAGAACACCCGUGGCUAAGGCGGCUCUCUAGUACGGUACUGACGCUGAGACGCGAAAGCGUGGGGAGCGAACAGG
rnacentral:rRNA from 1 species